rnacentral:misc_RNA from 1 species
UGACGUGAGCAAGGUCGGCUGGUGUUUGUGUGCGGUUGUCGUGAUCGACACUUUUGCCCCUCCCCCGCUCGGGAAGGCGCGUUGGUUCUGUUUAAGCACGUGCCUCGUCACGCGCGGUUUUUGUCACAUUGUUUUCCACGCGCUUUUCUUUGCGUUUAAGCGCCGCUCGGUGCCGCAGCACACGCGCGCGCCUUCUUCUCCCUCCCUCUUCUGCUGGCAACGCUAGCAGGGAGGAGUAAAUCGUAUUCUCAGGCACCCCGGCCCUUUCGCACAAAUAAGCAUCAUGAGCAUAGAGGAGCACAUAGCUGCGGCCAUUGCAGCAGAUGGCGCCGCGACCGAUGCCCUAAAAGAGGCUUUGCGCUCUCAUUCGCUGCUUUCCAUCUGUAAAGCCAUGCGGGAGCACUUGUGCACACCGGAGAAGGUGCAGCCGGCGAUGCGGUUGCUCGCAUCCGUGGCUGCUGGUCGGGCUGGUCUCAGCAGGACCGAUAUUAGGCUUCUGUUUGUAUUUUUCGCGGAGAAGCUGGCACAGCAGGAGCUCCAGACAACGGCCCUGAGCUCGCUGGCGCUGCUCAUCUCGUAUAUCAGAGAACAGCAUGAGUGCGACGAGGAGUGGUUCAAGAUUGUUGGCACACCCUUCACAGAGUAUGUGCGCGUCCAGCAACUGCCUCUUCACAGUCGCAAGCAGUGCUUUUGCAUCAUGUCUUUUUUGUUCACCGAGAAAACUAUGGACCUCUGCGAUGGCAAUAUCCUGGCGACGCUGCUUGAGCUGAUCGAUGGUGAGAGUGACCCCGAGCUAGUAUUGCUGACGUUUGACUUGCACGUGGUGGCAGCGACUCGCUCCACAAGAGAGGCAUUCGCCACCGUUGUCGACGACUAUUUCGAGAGCGUUUCCAGCUACUUCCCUGUGGUGUUCUCGCAGCCGCCGGGCUGCAAGGUGACCAAGACAGACCUGCGGACGGGCUUGAAGCGGUGUCUCUGCCUCGCCGUUUACAAGGAGCUCUGCAUCCCGUUCAUGCAGAGCAAGCUGACCUCUCCGUCCACCUCCGUCAAAGAGGACGUACUUGAUGUUCUGCUCACGUGCUUCGACACGUACUCCUCACAGGAUUUGGUGCCGCACUGCCGAUCGCUCGUGCUUCACAUGAAGAGCGAAGUGAUCAAACUGUCGUCCUUUGCUGACCGCGCAUCGAACGCGACGUUGACUAAGUGCCUGCUCAUGAGCUGUGAAGUUCUCGGUCGAGUGAGCAAGCAGUGCAGUGCCAAAACGCAGUCGGAAGCGCUAGAGAUCUUUGGACCCGUGGUGGAGGGGGUUUUGGCCGCUCUCUCCGCCGACCCGCCCACCUGCUCAGCCUAUGGAACAAUGGUGGUUCACGUCCUCACAGGGUCGUGGAAUUGCUGCCUCUUUGUCGCCUCAUAUCUGUUCUCGAUGCUCGCAAUGUCCAUCGAAGGGGCGGAGCGCCCAGCCAACGCGUUUAUCCUGCUCGCUGCCCUUGCCAGCGGCAUGCUCGACGGCUUGGAUGCGUUUCCCGGCGAAACCCACAAGGAGCAACUCCGAACUAGUAUCGAGAGAACCACCCCAAUGGUUGUGGAGACAGUGACAGGCUGCUCGCAGAGGUGGCGCGCCGCGGGCGACGAGACGUGCAUAGAUGAUUUUACUCUCAUGUGCGGUUGCGAGUUCCUCGUGUGUGUGCUGAAACUGUCUGCCGCCAUUGAGCCUUGGAUGCCGGCGGCGACGGCGUCCGAGGGAGUCGACGCCCUUGUGUGGGUGGCGCUGCAUCACACGGCUGAGGUCUCCGCAAAGGUGUGCCGGUUGCUGCGCGAGUACGCCGCUGUGGAUGCGCUGCAGGUGCAAGAAGCGCUAUCGCGCCUUCUUUGCAACCCGUCGGCGCCGCCUGAGCAGGCACUGAAUAUCGCGUGCGAACUGGCGAGUACCUCACUGGCAGCGCUUCUCCUCGUAUUUGGCGAUGGCUUCUUCUCCACAACGUGCGAGUGGAUUCGAGGAAUGGCAGCAGGGCAGCGGGCGGCGGCUCUGCAGAAGGCACUGCAGCACUUCGGGCGAGCGCUACAGGAUGGCGCCGCGGAUCGCAUGACAGCGUUGCUGGGCCGUGACGACGUGUCUCCUGAAUUCUUUGAGUGCGCAUGCCUUGUGGCUUCGAAUCUGAGUGGCGACACCUGUGGACAGCAGCUGUCCACAGAGGGAGCUCUCUCCUUGCUUGGAAUCGCGGCGGUAGUGAGCGGGCGCACACACCUUCACUGCGUGCUGUACAACUGGGCAAACACGGCGGCACAGUUUGUGGGUCUCACGACUUCCGACCACCAAGCGUGGCGUCGGGUAGGGAUGGAAGGCAUUACGGGGAUGCUUAUGAACAAGGUUUUCCCAGAGGACACACAAGCAUUGCUCACUCGCGUGUCAAGGGGGCACCUCAAUGUGGGGGUUGCCAUUCUGUGGGGCAAGCUGCUCGCCGACCGCGCUGACGGUGGUGAGGCGGCGGCGCCACCGCCUGGCGAGCUGGUGUCUUCCUUCCUGUAUCAGCACCUGGGGGUAGCAACUUCUGCCUCGUGUUGCGACCGCGCAGCGGUGCAGGAGGCCUUCUCGUACGUACCGUUCUUGGCCACUCAAGUAGGUGGCCGCCCGUCCCUCUUGCAGCUGCUCUUGGGGUCUGAAAUGAGUCAUUCGGAGCGGCCCAAUCACGCGCUGUGCUCAGCGCUCCAUUGCCUCGUUGAUAAAGAGACAGAGGAGCGAGUGCAGGCCUGUCUCGUAGACCUUUUGGCAAUGGUGCGCAAACUCACCAGCAGCGGCGCAGACAACGAGCGUGCGCUGGCUCGCGCCCUGCUCUUCAGCGUCGACGCCAAGUGCGGCGGGAGUGUUGCGUUGGCUCGCUCUGUGCUCUUCAACGAUUCAAGUGUGCAGGCGCUGCUUGAGGGCACCAAAGACGCGUCUCUUACUGUGCGGUGCCGCAGCUUGCACCUCAUUAGGUCUCUCGCCCGUGGCGCGUUGUUGUUGAUGGGGAACUGCUCUCAAGAGGAGAAGGCGGAACUGGCGCGCGCACGCGACCUUAUCCUUCUUGUCACGAAGCGGUCUCUAGGGGAUCACAAGCGAAGGGUUCGCCAGGCGUCAGUUGCGUGCCGGCAUGAAUGGUUCAAGGUGAAAUAGGCUCAUGCUCACUCCCGGCGGACUCGAGGAUGAGACAUUGGGGCAGAGGCCUGGUGGAGGGGAGGGAAGGGGGCUCAAAAGUGCGAUCUGCUCGGUCUCCUCGCUUGCACCACUCCAUGAAACUAUUGCUUCAAGGCUUAAUCGAGUCCGAUACACACACACACACAGUUGCUCGUUUCUCUUCCUAUGCCUCUCCAUGUACGGGUGGCACGCCAUGC